rnacentral:SRP_RNA from 1 species
GCCAGGCACGGUGGCACGUGCCUGUAGUCGCAACUACUCGGGAGGCUGAGGUGGAAGGAUCGCUUGAGCCCUAGAGUUCUGGGCUGUAGUGCACUAGCCAACUGGGUGUCCGCACUAAGUUUGGCAUCAAUAUGGUGAUGGGUGAACUGCCCCAGGUCAGAAAUGGAACAGAUUAAAACUCUGGUGCUGUGCCUGUGAAUAGCCACUGCACUCCAGGCUGCGCAACAUAGCAAGGCUCCAUCUCU